GACGAACGCUGGCGGCGUGCUUAACACAUGCAAGUCGAACGGAAAGGCCCUGCUUUUGUGGGGUGCUCGAGUUGCGAACGGGUGAGUAACACGUGAGUAACCUGUCCUUGACUUUGGGAUAACUUCAGGAAACUGGGGCUAAUACCGGAUAGGAUCUCCUGCUGCAUGGUGGGGGUUGGAAAGUUUCGGCGGUUGGGGUUGGACUCGCGGCUUAUCAGCUUGUUGGUGGGGUAGUGGCUAACGAAGGCUUGGACAGGUGGCAGGGCUGGGCGGGUGACCGGCCCCACUGGGACUGAGAUACGGCCCAGCCCAGACUGGUAGGCAGGAGUGGGGAAUGGUGCAUAGGGGGAGGAGCCAUGGUGCAGCAAAGCAACGUGGGGGAAGACAGCAUUCGGGUUGUAAUGCGCAUUCGCCUGUGCCGAAACGUGAGUGACGGUAAUGGGUGAAGAAGCACCGGCUAACUACGUG
rnacentral:rRNA from 1 species